ACGUGGAUUAGUAGUAUUAUGUUGUGUGUGUAAACCGUGAACCAUAGACUGGGAAAGGAAAGCGGAUGAACGUCACAAGAGUAGCAGAGAUUGCAAUACCGCCCCCUUUUGUGUGGGUUGAUUACGAUAAUGUUGCUGUCAAUGAAUGGAUGUCUACAAACUCCGACAGGUGGCGGUAUACCAAUAGCGACCAAUGAACAAAGAGCGGGCCGUGGUUAAAACGAUAUCGGAGUACGAGUAAGACAUCUCCCGAUCAAAGAAAGAGAUCGAACGUCUACAAAGGCUAACGUUACUAACGUUAGAUGUCAUCACACAGCCUGACAUAGUAAUAUAAAGCAGAUCCCCAGCAGCUAGUAACUCUCACUGUCCGAGAAGCAGAAGUUCCCCCUGAGGAGCAGCACUGUGAGCAGGAGUGGAUCCCAGGUCUGGGGCAGGAGGACCCAGAGCCAACACAGGUUGAAGAGGAACAGGAGUUGUUUGGGAUUGGUCAGGAGAAAGAGCAGAUUCAGAGGCUGGAGUCUGAUACCAAAGAUUCAUAUUAACUUCUCCCUUUGUGAAAAGUGAUUGGGAUCAGUACCCACCCCAGCCCUCAAGUAUUCACCAAACCCAAACCGUGGAGAAUGACUUACUACCCACUAAAACAACAGAAGAGAUCCAAAUAGAACAUGGAGAGGGCUAUGGAGUAUCAGAACCAAACAGUGAAUUACAGCCCCUCUCCAGUAAAUUCAGACUGUUCUCCAGCUCAGAAUAAAAACAGUGAAUGUGUCGAUAGUUGUACAUCAACUCUGAGAAAACAAAAGAUCUCUGGGGAGAAACCGUUUAACUGCCAUGUGUGCAGUAAAUGUUUCCUUACAGAGGAAUACUGUCAAAGACAUGCAAAUACAUACAGGGGAUAAAUAUUUGGGACAAAAUAACUUUUGACUAAUAGAAGUGAAAUACUUAUUCAAAUUGGGGAACUUGAUACAUUUCAUGCUUUCAUUUUUAAAUGACAAAACAUAUGAAAAUGCCCUCAAAUAUAAAGGUGACAUUCUGUACUGUCGCCUCAUAUGGAACAUUUGAUCCCAAAUACAAAAUGCUGGCGUAUGGAGCCGAUAUUAAAAUGUGAGCUUCACUGUCCAAUACAUGGAGGGAAGUGGACAUGCUCACAUGCUGACCAUAUACAUGCUUACUGUGUGACCAGUUUUAUAGCUCAGAAUAGACUAAACAUCCACCAGCUAGUUCACACAGGGGAGAAGUUUUUUAGCUGCAAUGGGUGUGGCAAAUCUUUCCCUAGGAAGGGAUAUUGACAUACAUAUGAGGAUACACAUAUGGUAAAGAACUGUGUUGCCGUGUUUGGCAUAAAGGCUUCCAUCAAACAGAGCAUAUGAAGACAAGACCCAAGGCUGGAGGUGCUCUGUGAGGGAAAUAGGAUUCAGUCAGAAUAUCUGAAGGAACAGUUUAACAAUGUAGGACAUUCUCCUCAUGUCACUACUGUUAGUUGAUUUAAUCUAAUGUAUUGAUUGAUGAAUGAGGGUAAUUGACAAUUUGCUAUUUUUGUGUCCAAGGAUAAUAUUUUAUAUAUAAAAAACAAUCUUAUUACAA